rnacentral:rRNA from 1 species
AGAGUUUGAUCCUGGCUCAGGAUGAACGCUAGCGGCAGGCCUAACACAUGCAAGUCGAGGGGUAAUCCCGCUUUCGGGCGGGAACGACCGGCGCACGGGUGAGUAACGCGUAUGCAACCUACCUUUAACUGGGGGAUAGCCCGAAGAAAUUCGGAUUAAUACCCCAUAUAACUAUAGAUAAGCAUUUAUUUAUAUUAAAAACUCCGGUGGUUAAAGAUGGGCAUGCGUAACAUUAGUUAGUUGGUGAGGUAACGGCUCACCAAGACUACGAUGUUUAGGGGGCCUGAGAGGGUGGUCCCCCACACUGGUACUGAGACACGGACCAGACUCCUACGGGAGGCAGCAGUGAGGAAUAUUGCGCAAUGGAGGCAACUCUGACGCAGCCAUGCCGCGUGCAGGAUGACGGCCCUACGGGUUGUAAACUGCUUUUAUACAGGAAGAACUUUCCGCACGUGUGCGGGAUUGACGGUACUGUACGAAUAAGCACCGGCUAACUCCGUGCCAGCAGCCGCGGUAAUACGGAGGGUGCAAGCGUUAUCCGGAUUUAUUGGGUUUAAAGGGUGCGUAGGCGGGAUAAUAAGUCAGUGGUGAAAUACUGCAGCUCAACUGUAGAACUGCCAUUGAUACUGUUAUUCUUGAGUUCGAUUGAGGUAGGCGGAAUGUGUAAUGUAGCGGUGAAAUGCUUAGAUAUUACACAGAACACCGAUUGCGUAGGCAGCUUACUAAGUCGACACUGACGCUGAGGCACGAAAGCGUGGGGAGCGAACAGGAUUAGAUACCCUGGUAGUCCACGCUGUAAACUAUGAUCACUAGCUGUUGGCGAUACAUCGAUCAGCGGCAAAGCGAAAGCAUUAAGUGAUCCACCUGGGGAGUACGGUCGCAAGAUUGAAACUCAAAGGAAUUGACGGGGGCCCGCACAAGCGGUGGAACAUGUGGUUUAAUUCGAUGAUACGCGAGGAACCUUACCUGGGCUUAAAUGCAGAUUGACGUUUCGGGAAACCGGAAUUCUCUUCGGAGCGAUUUGCAAGGUGCUGCAUGGUUGUCGUCAGCUCGUGCCGUGAGGUGUCGGGUUAAGUCCCAUAACGAGCGCAACCCCUAUCGUUAGUUGCCAGCGGAUAAUGCCGGGGACUCUAACGAAACUGCCGGUGUAAACCGAGAGGAAGGUGGGGAUGACGUCAAAUCAGCACGGCCCUUAUGUCCAGGGCUACACACGUGUUACAGUGGUCGGUACAGAGGGCAGCUACCUGGUGACAGGAUGCUAAUCUCGAAAGCCGGUCUUAGUUCGGAUCGAAGUCUGCAACUCGACUUCGUGAAGC